CGGGGUGCACCAGGCGCGAAAACUUUACAAUGCGGGAAACAGCGAUAAGGGGACACCGAGUGCCAGCAUCAUAUGCUGGCUGUCCAGGUGUGUAAAAUACACCUGUUAGCAAGGGCCGGGCAAGACCGGUGCCAGCCGCCGCGGUAACACCGGCGGCCCGAGUGGUGAUCGUGAUUAUUGGGUCUAAAGGGUCCGUAGCCGGUUUGGUCAGUCCUCCGGGAAAUCUGACGGCUCAACCGUUAGGCUUUCGGGGGAUACUGCCAGGCUUGGAACCGGGAGAGGUAAGAGGUACUACAGGGGUAGGAGUGAAAUCUUGUAAUCCCUGUGAGACCACCUGUGGCGAAGGCGUCUUACCAGAACGGGUUCGACGGUGAGGGACGAAAGCUGGGGGCACGAACCGGAUUAGAUACCCGGGUAGUCCCAGCCGUAAACGAUGCUCGCUAGGUGUCAGGCAUGGCGCGACCGUGUCUGGUGCCGCAGGGAAGCCGUGAAGCGAGCCACCUGGGAAGUACGGCCGCAAGGCUGAAACUUAAAGGAAUUGGCGGGGGA
rnacentral:rRNA from 1 species